rnacentral:rRNA from 1 species
CCUACGGGUGGCGGCAGUGAGGAAUAUUGGUCAAUGGGCGGGAGCCUGAACCAGCCAAGUAGCGUGCAGGAUGACUGCCCUAUGGGUUUUAAACUUCUUUUAUAAGGGAAUAAAGUGCCCCACGUGUGGGGUUUUGUAUGUACCUUAUGAAUAAGCAUCGGCUAAUUCCGUGCCAGCAGCCGCGGUAAUACGGAAGAUACGAGCGUUAUCCGGUUUUAUUGGGUUUAAAGGGAGCGUAGGCGGUUGCAUAAGUCAGCGGUGAAAUCGUGGGGUUCAACCGUACCGUGCCGUUGAAACUGUGGGGCUUGAGUACGCGCAAGGUAGGUGGAAUUCGUGGUGUAGCGGUGAAAUGCUUAGAUAUCACGAAGAACUCCGAUCGCGAAGGCAGCUUACCGGAGCGAAACUGACGCUGAUGCUCGAAAGUGCGGGUAUCAAACAGGAUUAGAUACCCUAGUAGUC